rnacentral:rRNA from 1 species
GACGAACGCUGGCGGCGUGCUUAACACAUGCCAGUCGAACGAUGAAGAAAAGAAUCGAAGCUUCGGCAGAAAUUCAUUUCGGAUUAGUGGCAGACGGGUGAGUAACGCGUGAGCAACCUACCUCUUACAAAGGGAUAGCCUCGGGAAACCGGGAUUAAUACCAUAUAACAUUGCGACGAAGCAUUUCGAUGCAAUCAAAGCUACGGCGGUAAGAGAUGGGCUCGCGUCCCAUUAACCGGAUGGUGAGGUAACGGCUCACCAUAGUGACGAUGGGUAACCGGCCUGAGAGGGUGAACGGUCACACUGGAACUGAGACACGGUCCAGACUCCUACGGGAGGCAGCAGUGGGGAAUAUUGCACAAUGGAGGGAACUCUGAUGCAGCGACGCCGCGUGAGUGAUGAAGGAAUUCGUUUCGUAAAACUCUGUUCUAUGGGAAGAAAAGGACUGUACCAUAGGAGAAAGCUCCGGCUAAAUACGUG